rnacentral:rRNA from 1 species
UUGAAAGGGAAACGAUUGAAGUCGCCCGUGCUGGCGCGAAAUCAACCCCCUCGUCGGGAGAUCACUGUUGUGGCGAGCCUCAAAACCGCCACGGCGUGUGAUCUCACGAUGAGUGGGAGCACUUUCGUGUCCGCUGGUUAACAUCAAUUUCGAACGCCGUAAAAAGGCUGGAGGGAUGUGGCUCCUUCGGGAGUGUUAUAACCUUUAGCGGAAUGCGGUGGUCGAGAUUCCCCCCCC